GGGAGUAAGUUUCUGUACUUAUUCGCUAUGGUGUUUCUAGGACCACCCCACUUUGUGCCUGUUUUAUUUGGCAGUUGCGAACAAGCUACUGAUUUCAAAGACUAUUCUUACUCCGCAAUACUGAGGGAUAUGGCUGCUGCUGUGAUGUGAAGUGUUUUUCUGCAUCUUAUUUUCUUUGGGUCUUUCUGGUAUAGCAGUCUCUGUGUAGUUUGGCUGGUGUCUUUGUUUUUUAGUCUGUUUUUGUUGUUUGUUUGGCUUGUGGAUGCCUUAUCCACUUGUGUGUUCCUUUUCGUUUCUUUCAAUAAAUUUUGUUUCUAUUCAAAAACUAUAUAAUUCUUUGCUGA